GUCUCUUGUGUGAUGGCUGCGCCUCGAAUCAGUGGGAGGGCACCUCGCCCGUUUACAGUUGGGCAAUGCUUGGGCUGGGCGGCCUGGCUGCUCCUGGACUCGCCUCCCAGCGUCUGAUGCUGUGUAUUUUCCAUCUGCCCCAGGAAUUUGACACAGGUGUGACUUGCAGGUUGUGUGGGUGAUGCCUCCCUCCCUCUUUCCUCUUAAAGCAUCUCAUGCUUCUUCAUUCGCUGAUACUUACAACCCCCAGUGGAUAUUUAGUGGAGUUUGCUGUAGUGCUUUUGCCAUUUAUUUGGACUAUUGGAAAAAUUUCAGGUUUGGUUUUGGCCCUAUGUCUUGAUGGAGGGCAAGGGUUAGGAUUUCAGUUUAUCUUCCCGGUGAGGUCUGAGCACGUCUGUGCCCUGAGGUGGGUGGUUUGGUGAAGGUGGGGCUUUAACCUAGCUCUGCCACUUAGGAAUCAGAACACACACACACACGCGCGCACACACACACACACACACACACUCUCUCUCACACACACAUCGGGAUAUUUUUCUUGUUUCCUUCUUCCAGAGGGUGUAGGAGUUGUGUUCCAAGUUUGUUCCUGCAAACCCUCCGAUGAGGCCAGCUGCAUUCAUCGGGGCCUGGAUGGCCGCACCUCUCUCUCCCCGCCCUGUCUCCUGCACUCAGAAACUGCCAAGAAGAAUGCCGCCGCUCAGGUUUAUCUGGUAGAAUAAGCUGUUUGAACAAAGAUCUGGAGGUUGCACAAUCCUGUGUCAUUCUGGAUUUAUCUUGGGGUCGGGAGUCAACGAUACUUCUUGUGCUGUCGUUUCUCCGGCCGUGUGAAGUUACCACCUCGUGAGUGGUCAUAAGUUAGCGUGUCUAAAUGCACUUUGAAAUCCUAGGAUGAAAAAGCCAGGCCCUGUCUUUUUUCCUUGUCUAAGCACCAUCCUUGCUUAGGAGAGACACGGCUGUGGCUCUCAGGCUGUGGGGCAAUGUUCUGCUUAUAAUGUUUCAAGAGGUUCAAAGCGUGCAGGCCCCAUGCUCCGUGAGAGCCUUGACCUGGGUCAGCAGGGGCGGCUGGGCUUGACUCGAGAAUUCCCACAGGGCCCGAGGGAAGAGCAGAGCAAGAGGGAGGAGCGCGUGGAGCCCUAUGUGGCCUGCGAUAUUGGGGUGGCGUCCAGGCCCGCCUAGAUGGGGGAGGGAGACAACAGAGCUGCCACCUGCUCACCGCAGACCCAGGGGCCCAGGAGGAGCGGACUAGGACCGGCAGUGCCUUCCAGCCUAGGUCUCCUGCCCCUGGGCUGGAGUUCAUCUUUUAGGCAAAUUUGGAAUAGGA
rnacentral:lncRNA from 1 species